GUUGAGUAGUAAUACUUGACCUAGAGCGGCGCACGGGUGCGUAACGCGUAUGCAACCUACCUUUUACUGGGGGAUAGCCCGGAGAAAUCUGGAUUAAUACCCCAUAGUAUCUACGAAUCGAUUGUUUUGUAGCUUAAAGACUUAUCGGUAAGAGAUGGGCAUGCGUCUGAUUAGCUAGUUGGCGGGGUAACGGCCCACCAAGGCGACGAUCAGUAGGGGUUCUGAGAGGAAGGUCCCCCACACUGGCACUGAGAUACGGGCCAGACUCCUACGGGAGGCAGCAGUAGGGAAUAUUGGGCAAUGGUCGCAAGACUGACCCAGCCAUGCCGCGUGCAGGAUGAAGGCCCUCUGGGUUGUAAACUGCUUUUAUCUGGGAAGAAAAAGUCCAUGCGUGGAAAAUUGCCGGUACCAGAUGAAUAAGCACCGGCUAACUCCGUGCCAGCAGCCGCGGUAAUACGGAGGGUGCAAGCGUUGUCCGGAUUUAUUGGGUUUAAAGGGUGCGUAGGCGGCUG
rnacentral:rRNA from 1 species